rnacentral:rRNA from 1 species
UACAGAGGUCCCAAGCGUUGUUCGGAUUUACUGGGCGUAAAGAGCGCGUAGGCGGCUCGUUAAGUGUGAAGUGAAAUCUCCAGGGCUCAACCCGGAAACUGCUUCGCAUACUGGCGAGCUGGAGUGAUGAAGAGGUUUGUGGAAUUCCUGGUGUAGCGGUGAAAUGCGUUUGAUAUCAGGAGGAACACCGAUGGCGAAGGCAGCAAACUGGUCAUCAACUGACGCUGAGGCGCGAAAGCGUGGGUAGCAAACAGG